rnacentral:rRNA from 1 species
CGCGUAGGCGGCCUGUUAAGUCAGACGUGAAAUCCCCGGGCUCAACCCGGGAACUGCGUCUGAUACUGGCAGGCUUGAAUCCGGGAGAGGGAUGCGGAAUUCCAGGUGUAGCGGUGAAAUGCGUAGAUAUCUGGAGGAACACCGGUGGCGAAGGCGGCAUCCUGGACCGGCAUUGACGCUGAGGCGCGAAAGCCAGGGAGCAAACG